GGUCAAUUACAGCAGCUUGCCCAGGGCUAUCAACAGAGUAAUGAUUAAUGUUAAUAAGCAACACUUCCUGGCAUCUGCUGCCUGCCUGUGAAAAAAAAAACAACAAAAAUGUGGUGGUAUCAUCAAUUUGCUGUCUGCAGCCACAUGUAGACUAAGAACGCACAAUUGCAUGGAGAGCUGAAGCUGUGUAUUAUCCCAGAGAUAAUGAGAGAGGAAACACGUUGCAAAGAGCAUGCCGGACCAGCCAUGAAUGUGGCCGUGCUUUAAGCUGCAGCAUUUGCCUGUAGCAUUGUGCACGUCACCUGUAGAAGACCAUCCAGCAGCACUCUGCAAGCAUCUCACAAGACAGCAAGUAAGACACAAGCCUUGCAGCACAUCAGGAAAGAGCUUAAAAUGAAACAGUUUCUUUGGCCAGGUCAACACUGUGGUGACCGUGUUGGGGUAAAGCCAUGGGGAGAAGUCUCCUGGAGAAGCAAAUGGGAGCAAUGGAGUGUGCAUGAUGGGUACAGCUGAGCACCACCAAGCCCCUAACCUCAGCAGGCCUACAACUUUGUAAGUGGUUACUGGAUUCCCUCGGCUUCCACCAAGUCCUUCACCACGCAGCACAAUGCAUC
ensembl:lncRNA